rnacentral:rRNA from 1 species
GUGCCCUUCUCUACGGAAUAGCCAUUGGAAACGAUGAUUAAUACCGUAUACGCCCUUUGGGGAAAGAUUUAUCGGAGAAGGAUCGGCCCGCGUUAGAUUAGGUAGUUGGUGGGGUAACGGCCUACCAAGCCUACGAUCUAUAGCUGGUUUUAGAGGAUGAUCAGCAACACUGGGACUGAGACACGGCCCAGACUCCUACGGGAGGCAGCAGUGGGGAAUCUUAGACAAUGGGCGCAAGUGAUCUAGCCAUGCCGCGUGAGUGAUGAAGGCCUUAGGGUCGUAAAGCUCUUUCGCCAGGGAUGAUAAUGACAGUACCCGGUAAAGAAACCCCGGCUAACUCCGUGCCAGCAGCCGCGGUAAUACGGAGGGGGUUAGCGUUGUUCGGAAUUACUGGGCGUAAAGCGCGCGUAGGGGAUUGGAAAGUUGGGGGUGAAAUCCCGGGGCUCAACCCCGAACUGCCUCCAAAACUAUCAGUCUAGAGUUCGAGAGAGGUGAGUGGAAUUCCAAGUGUAGAGGUGAAAUUCGUAGAUAUUUGGAGGAACACCAGUGGCGAAGGGGCUCACUGGCUCGAUACUGACGCUGAGGUGCGAAAGUGUGGGGAGCAAACAGGAUUAGAUACCCUGGUAGUCCACACCGUAAACGAUGAAUGCCAGACGUCGGGGGGCUUGCCUUCGGUGUCACACCUAACGGAUUAAGCAUUCCGCCUGGGGAGUACGGUCG